rnacentral:rRNA from 1 species
UGAUCCCUGGCUCAGGACGAACGCUGGCGGCAUGCCUAAUACAUGCAAGUCGAGCGGAGUUGUUUUGGAAGCUUGCUUCCAAAUCAACUUAGCGGCGGACGGGUGAGUAACACGUAGGUAACCUGCCUGUAAGAUUGGGAUAACUACCGGAAACGGUAGCUAAUACCGAAUAAUUUGUUUCUUCUCAUGAAGAGACAAUGAAAGGCGGAGUAAUCUGCCACUUACAGAUGGGCCUGCGGCGCAUUAGCUAGUUGGUGAGGUAACGGCUCACCAAGGCGACGAUGCGUAGCCGACCUGAGAGGGUGAACGGCCACACUGGGACUGAGACACGGCCCAGACUCCUACGGGAGGCAGCAGUAGGGAAUCUUCCGCAAUGGACGAAAGUCUGACGGAGCAAUGCCGCGUGAGUGAUGAAGGUUUUCGGAUCGUAAAGCUCUGUUGCCAGGGAAGAACACUUGGGAGAGUAACUGCUCUCAAGGUGACGGUACCUGAGAAGAAAGCCCCG